rnacentral:rRNA from 1 species
UACGUAGGGGGCUAGCGUUGUCCGGAAUCAUUGGGCGUAAAGAGCGUGUAGGCGGCCAGGUAGGUCUGCUGUGAAAACUCGAGGCUCAACCUCGAGACGUCGGCGGAAACCAUCUGGCUAGAGUCCGGAAGAGGAGAGUGGAAUUCCUGGUGUAGCGGUGAAAUGCGCAGAUAUCAGGAAGAACACCCGUGGCGGAAGGCGGCUCUCUGGGACGGUACUGGACGCUGAGACGGCGAAAGCGUGGGGAGCGAACAGG